ACCACGCCUCCGCCUCGGCAAGCGCCCCCUCCCUAGCGGCAAUCUCCCUCGGCAAGCGCCCUCUCCCCCGCAGCAAUCUUGCCGCGCCCUCGCUCCACGACAAUCUUGGCAAUGUCCCUCGCUCCGCGCCAAUCUCGCUCGCUCCGCGGCGCCCCCAUGCUCGCCCUCCCCCACGGCCCCCACGGCAAUCUGCCUCCCCCAUAAGGGCACCAUCCCGAGCCCGCCCCAGCCGCCAUUCUCGCUUCGGGGCGCCGCGUCCGCGUCGAUUCAGUUUCCCUCGAGUUUCAGAAACCCCGCCCGCCAAUAGCCCUCGCGUCUGUAGAUCUCGCGUCCUCGAUGGAAAGUUCGCCUCCACGCCAUUCAUGGCGCCUUCCUCGGUCCCCUUCCCCAUGACCAUAUCACGCCAUUGUGGAAUCAUGGUAUUUGUCAUCUUCGUGGAAGUUGAAUAACCGCAUAUAAUUUCUAGGAGCACCCGGGCCACUGCCAGUCCGCCAUGCCCAAGCCACCGGCCGGCUUCGUGCUGAAUGAAUGGGGCAGGUGCAUCGCCGCUGCAUUCAAGUGCAUCUUCAUCAUCGUGCGGAGUUGGCCUGCCGCCGGCCACCAAUACCAUCGCCUCGGUCCACCCACCAGUUGCAACGCUGGUCCUGUGCUCUCACCAUUUGAUAGGGAGUGAGGGACGAUGGGAUCAGGUCGACCUAUGAUGGGCAUGCCUGCUCCGCCUCUCUGGCCCGAUCUCACAGUCAUCCCCAAAUUCCCAUGUACUACUCUUGCUAUCAAUCGGCUGAAGUUGUAUGAUGACUGUUGUUCAUUGAAUUUUCUUUCUGUCAAUCGACCCGAUUACUCUUAUUUCUGACUAAAAAAACUCAGACUCAAUGUCAUGAUAUUUGUCUUUGCAUUGGUUCUUUGUGAGGGGUUAUAUAUAAUUUGAGAAAUUUCAAGAUGUGAUGAUUACCAGGAGUCAGCAAAAAAGGUAUUGUUUUCAGGAAGAAUGUUCUUGUGAACAAUCAUCUUCACAGCUACCCCUUCCAUGCCCAUUAAGAAACAAGAAAGAAUCGCAACAUUUAGGUUCUCCAGAUUUUCUAAAGCUCAAUAAUUGGAAUUCAGUCCGAAUAUAUUCAUUGAACCAAAGAGAGGAUCCAUGUCGGACGUGGUGGCUUGGUAGAUGUGGAAAUUUUUCCAAUAGUGACCCAUUUUCCUUUCAUAAUUUUCAUUUCAUCACUACACAAAUUUCAUGGAUUGCUUACUGACUUUGGCCAAUAUAUUUUAGAUAUGUCCAUAGUUUUGUUUUUUUCAUCCCAUAUCUAAGCUUCAGUAAAACAAAGGUUGUGUUGUUGUGCAUAUAGAUUGCCUGGACAUAAUCAUACGAUAUUCAGGAAAAAAUAUUUCACAUAUUCAGAAGAAUUUGCUCUUGUUUCUUCAUGUUUCUUUUGCCUCCUUGACUCUUAGCAUUUGGUUUUCUGAUUUAUGCAGGUUCAGUACAAAGAAGAUAUCAAUUAUGAAGAGACUUCUUCAUGAAUUCAUGAGGAAACAAGCUCUUCACCUGCAGGUGUACACCGAGGAAAUCAGAGUGCAGAGCUCUGGUCUUUAUCUGCCACGGAUACGAAGCCGAGUGCAGCAUAUCCAUCGGAGAUGAUCAACAUCAUUGCGCCUAGCUGGAGAGUCAUCCCUGCAACAAACAUGAUCGACAAAAUCCGCAAAGACCCUCAGCUCAAGAAAAAGAUCUGUUUCAAUCCGUACAUGUACAGAGGAAACCUCGCACUGCAAAUAGGCUGCAAACUCCUUUCCGUCAGCCUAGACAUCAAGAAGAGCCUGCACGAGGUGAGAUCUUCGCCAUCUGUUAGGCCACCACAUGCAACAUUGGUAGCAUGAACGUUCCCGUUGGAUCGUCGACCAUGGGACUUCUACAGUAACAUCGGCACGGACGACGUCGUCACUGAUCGUUCCGGGAGCAAGCUGCUGCACAACCUGAAGAAGAUUUGUCUUUUUAAGAUGAAGGUUCUGAAGAACGUGAUCCAGGUCGAGGAGAUUUCUAAGGUCUUGGAAAUCAGCGGCGAGCGCAGCCUCAUCGAUAACUUCGUCUUCUCCUACCACGUGUAAUAAUCACGGCUAAUGUGACACUUUUGCAACAAUAUCAAUGCCGGACAACAUGCAUGCUCCUUGGGAGGAAUUAAGGGGAAGAUGAAGAACUAAAAAAAUUACCAGAAUCUAAUUUACGCACGCCAAGUCAGACCACCGUGAAAAACUCUAUCUCCACGUGACCAAUCUUCUCCAUUUUUCAGUUUGCAAGAUACUUUUUAUAUUGAUUAAAGUUCAAUACCAAUAACACUAAUGUGAGCUCACUGUGGUGUUCAUCUUUUUGCAUAAAUUUUAUGAAAAGAAAACAGAACUCUUUCUAUUUUGCCUUCUCUGCUAUAGUAAAGAUGUACCAUUUCAUGUUUA